AUUGAACGCUGGCGGCAGGCCUAACACAUGCAAGUCGAACGAGUGGCGGACGGGUGAGUAAUGUCUGGGAAACUUCCCGAUGGAGGGGGAUAACUACUGGAAACGGUAGCUAAUACCGCAUACCUUCGGAUGUGCACAGAUGUGAUUUGCGUGUAGUUGGGGUAACGGCUCACCUGGGCGACGCUCCCUAGCUGGUCUGAGAGGAAGACCAGCCACACUGUAAUUGAGACACGGUCCAGACUCCUACGGAAGGCAGCAGUGGGGAAUAUUGCACAAUGGGGGCAGGCCUGAUGCAGCCAUGCCGCGUGUAUGAAGAAGUCCUUCGGGUUGUAAAGUACUUUCAUCGAGGAGACGUUACUCGCAGAAGAAGCACCGGCUAACGCCGUGCCAGCAGCCGCGGUAAUAC
rnacentral:rRNA from 1 species